CUACGGAGGGUGCGAGCGUUAAUCGGAAUUACUGGGCGUAAGGCGUGCGUAGGCGGAUUAUUAAGCAAGAUGUGAAAGCCCAGGGCUCAACCUUGGAACUGCAUUUUGAACUGGUAGUCUAGAGUACUGUAGAGGGUGGUGGAAUUUCCAGUGUAGCGGUGAAAUGCGUAGAGAUUUGAAGGAACAUCAGUGGCGAAGGCGGCCACCUGGACAGAUACUGACGCUGAGGCACGAAAGCGUGGGGAGCGAACAGGAUUAGAUACCCUAGUAGUCC
rnacentral:rRNA from 1 species